rnacentral:tRNA from 1 species
GGCCAGAUAGCUCAGUCGGUAGAGCAGAGGACUGAAAAUCCUCGUGUCGUUGGUUCGAUUCCGACUCUGGCCACCA